rnacentral:rRNA from 1 species
GACGAACGCUGGCGGCGUGCUUAACACAUGCAAGUCGAACGGAAAGGCCCUGCUUUUGUGGGGUGCUCGAGUGGCGAACGGGUGAGUAACACGUGAGUAACCUGCCCUUGACUUUGGGAUAACUUCAGGAAACUGGGGCUAAUACCGGAUAGGAGCUCCUGCUGCAUGGUGGGGGUUGGAAAGUUUCGGCGGUUGGGGAUGGACUCGCGGCUUAUCAGCUUGUUGGUGGGGUAGUGGCUUACCAAGGCUUUGACGGGUAGCCGGCCUGAGAGGGUGACCGGCCACAUUGGGACUGAGAUACGGCCCAGACUCCUACGGGAGGCAGCAGUGGGGAAUAUUGCACAAUGGGCGGAAGCCUGAUGCAGCAACGCCGCGUGCAGGAUGACGGCCUUCGGGCUGUAAACCGCUUUCGCCUGUGACGAAGCGUGAGUGACGGUAAUGGGUAAAGAAGCACCGGCUAACUACGUG